rnacentral:rRNA from 1 species
GACGAACGCUGGCGGCGUGCUUAACACAUGCAAGUCGAACGGAAAGGCGCUGCGUUUGUGGGGUGCUCGAGUGGCGAACGGGUGAGUAACACGUGAGUAACAUGCCCUUGACUGUGGGAGAACUUCAGGAAACUGCGGCUAAUAUCGGAGAGGAGCUCCUGAUGCAUGGUGGGGGUUGGAAAGAUUCGGCGGUUGGGGAUGGACUCGCGGCUUAUCAGCUUGUUGGUGGGGUAGGGGCUGACCAAGGCUUUGACGGGUAGCCGGCCUGAGAGGGUGAACGGCCACAUUGGGCCUACGAUAGGGACCAGAAUCCUACGGGAGGCAGUAGUCGGGAGUCUUGCGGAAUGGGCGGAAGCCUGAUGCAGCAACCCUGGGUGCGGGAUGACGGCCUUCGGGUUGUAAACCACUGUCGACUGUGACGAAGACUUAGUGACGGUACUGAGUCAAGAAGCCCCGGCUAACUACGUG